rnacentral:lncRNA from 1 species
AGAUUACUGACUCAUGGUCUUGGAGGAGAAGCGUACAUGAAUUUUAUUGGCAAUGAGUUUGGUCAUCCAGAAUGGCUGGACUUUCCCAGGGAGGGGAACAACUCAAGCUACCAUUAUGCCAGAAGACAGUUUCAUCUUGCUGACGAUCCUUCAUUGAGAUAUAAGUUUCUGAAUGAGUUUGACAAGAAGAUGAACCAUUUGGAGGAGGAAUAUGGUUGGCUGCACGCUCAGCAGGUAGGAUUGUCGUAAUGGAAACGUCUUUCAAAGGUGGACAAACCAGGAAACAUUGUUUCCUGGCCAUGUUUCCCAAAGGUGGACAAACCAGGAAACAUCGUUUCCUAGCCAUGUUUCCCAAUGAUGGACAAACCAGGAAACAUUGUUUCCUAGCCAUGUUUCCCAAUGAUGGACAAACCAGGAAACAUUGUUUCCUAGCCAUGUUUCCCAAAGGUGGACAAACCAGGAAACAUUGUUUCCUAGCCAUGUUUCCCAAUGAUGGACAAACCAGGAAACAUUGUUUCCUAGCCAUGUUUCCCAAAGGUGGACAAACCAGGAAACAUUGUUUCCUAGCCAUGUUUCCCAAAGGUGGACAAACCAGGAAACAUUGUUUCCUAGCCAUGUUUCCCAAAGGUGGACAAACCAGGAAACAUUGUUUCCUGGCCAUGUUUCCCAAAGGUGGACAAACCAGGAAACAUCGUUUCCUAGCCAUGUUUCCCAAUGAUGGACAAACCAGGAAACAUUGUUUCCUAGCCAUGUUUCCCAAUGAUGGACAAACCAGGAAACAUUGUUUCCUAGCCAUGUUUCCCAAAGGUGGACAAACCAGGAAACAUUGUUUCCUAGCCAUGUUUCCCAAAGGUGGACAAACCAGGAAACAUU